rnacentral:rRNA from 1 species
AUUGAACGCUGGCGGCAGGCCUUACACAUGCAAGUCGAGCGAGCGGCGGACGGGUGAGUAAUGUAUGGGGACUGCCCGAUAGAGGGGGAUAACUACUGGAAACGGUGGCUAAUACCGCAUACUCUUGGCUAACCCAUAUGGGAGUAGCUAGUAGGUGGGGUAAAGGCUCACCCAGGCGACGCUCCGUAGCUGGUCUGAGAGGAUGACCAGCCAAACUGGGACUGAGACACGGCCCAGACGCCUAUGGAGGCAGCAGUGGGGAAGUUUGCACAAUGGGCGAAAGCCUGAUGCAGCCAUGCCGCGUGUAUGAAGAAGGCCUUAGGGUUGUAAAGUACUUUCAGCGGGGAGGCGUUACCCGCAGAAGAAGCACCGGCUAACUCCGUGCCAGCAGCCGCGGUAAUUC